CCUACGGGAUGCAGCAGUGAGGAAUAUUGGUCAAUGGCCGAGAGGCUGAACCAGCCAAGUCGCGUGAGGGAAGACGGCCCUACGGGUUGUAAACCUCUUUUGUCGGGGAGCAAAGCGAACCACGUGUGGUUCAUUGAGAGUACCCGAAGAAAAAGCAUCGGCUAACUCCGGGCCAGCAGCCGCGGUAAUACGGAGGAUGCGAGCGUUAUCCGGAUUUAUUGGGUUUAAAGGGUGCGCAGGCGGAGUUGCAAGUUAGCGGUCACAUUGCGGGGCUCAACCCCGUACUGCCGUUGAAACUGCAUCCCUUGAGUGCGCGAGAAGUAUGCGGAAUGCGUGGUGUAGCGGUGAAAUGCAUAGAUAUCACGCAGAACUCCGAUUGCGAAGGCAGCAUACCGGCGCGCAACUGACGCUCAUGCACGAAAGCGUGGGUAUCGAACAGGAUUAGAUACCCCAGUAGUC
rnacentral:rRNA from 1 species